GCUAUUGGGCACUUAUGGGCCAGUUAUGGGGCAGCUAUGGGGCAGUGAUGGGGCAGCUAUGGGGCACUUAUGGGGAACUGAUGGGGCUGCUAUGGGGCACUGAUGGGGCACUAAUGGGGCACUGAUAGGGCAGCUAUGGGGCAGUUAUGGGUCCCCCCCAGCACUUAUGGGGCAGCUAUGGGGCAGUUAUGGGUUCCCCCCAGCACUUAUGGGGCAGCUAUGGGGCACUUAUGGGUGCCCCCUGGCACUUAUGGGGCAGCUAUGGGGCACUUAUGGUGCAGUUAUGGGUCAGCUAUGGGGCAGCUAUGGGGCACUUAUGGGUCAUCCCUCACACUUAUAGGACAGUUAUGGAUUCUCCCCCAGCACUUAUGGGGCAGCUAUAGGGCAGCUAUGGGGCAGCUAUGGGUUCCCCCCAGCACUUAUGGGGCAGCUAUAGGGCAGUUAUGGGGCAGUUAUGGGUCCCCCCCAGCACUUAUGGGGCAGCUAUGGGGCAGUUAUGGGUUCCCCCCGGCACUUAUGGGGCAGCUAUGGGGCAGUUAUGGGUCCCCCCACAGCACUUAUGGGGCAGCUAUGGGGCAGCUGUGGGGCAGCUGUGGGGCGGUUAUGGGGCAAGGGUGGGAGGUUAUGGGGUCAUCCCCUCCCCAGCAGCGGUUAUGGGGCAGGGAUGGGAGAUUUGGGGUCACCC
rnacentral:lncRNA from 1 species